rnacentral:rRNA from 1 species
GACGUAGGGCGCGAGCGUUGUCCGGAUUUAUUGGGCGUAAAGAGCUCGUAGGCGGCUUGUCGCGUCGUCCGUGAAAACCUGGGGCUCAACCCCAGGCUUGCGGUCGAUACGGGCAGGCUCGAGUUCGGUAGGGGAGACUGGAAUUCCUGGUGUAGCGGUGAAAUGCGCAGAUAUCAGGAGGAACACCAGUGGCGAAGGCGGUGCUCUGGGCCGGAGCUGACGCUGAGGAGCGAAAGCGUGGGGAGCAAACAGG